GAUGAACGCUAGCGGCAGGCCUAACACAUGCAAGUCGAGGGGCAUCAUGAUUAUAGUUUACUAUAAUUGAUGGCGACCGGCGCACGGGUGCGUAACGCGUAUGCAACCUACCUUUAACAGGGGGAUAAUCCGAAGAAAUUUGGUCUAAUACCCCAUAAUAUUAUAUAUGGCAUCAUUUAUAAUUGAAAUAUUCAUAGGUUAAAGAUGGGCAUGCGUGACAUUAGCUAGAUGGAGUGGUAACGGCACACCAUGGCAAUUAUGUCUAGGGGAACUGAGAGGUUAAUCCCCCACACUGGUACUGAGACACGGACCAGACUCCUACGGGAGGCAGCAGUGAGGAAUAUUGGUCAAUGGACGGAAGUCUGAACCAGCCAUGCCGCGUGCAGGAUGACGGCUCUAUGAGUUGUAAACUGCUUUUGUAAGAGGGUAAUUGUUAGUACGCGUACUAACUUGAAAGUAUCUUACGAAUAAGGAUCGGCUAACUCCGUGCCAACAGCCGCGGUAAUACGGAGGAUCCGAGCGUUAUCCGGAUUUAUUGGGUUUAAAGGGUGCGUAGGUUGCGGCAUAAGUCAGUGGUUAAAUACGAUAGCUCAACUAUCGAUCUGCCAUUGAAACUGUGUUGCUAGAGAUUGGUUUGCAGCAGGCGGAAUGUGUAGUGGUAGCGGUGAAUGCAUAGAUAUUACACAGAAACAUCCGAAUUGCGAAGGCAGCUUGCUAAAGCCAUAUUCUGACACUGAUUGCCCG
rnacentral:rRNA from 1 species